CCAGUGAGUCUGGUUCCUGGUCAAGAGGUAGACAGGACUGCAGAGAGAAAGGAGCAGAUCUGGUGGUUAUAGACAGCACUGAAGAACAGACAUUCUUGUCAAACCUCACUGAGGUAGCAACUUGGAUUGGUUUGACUGACAGAGACGAAGAGGGAACCUGGAAAUGGAUUGAUGGAACACCACUGACUUUAAGUUACUGGGCAACAAAUCAGCCUGAUAAUGGAAAUGGAGUUCCGAAGGUCGGUGAAGAGGACUGUGUACAUAUCAGGUCUGGCAAGGAAACUGAAUACAACUGGAAUGAUCUGUCGUGUGAUGCUUCUCUGCGGUGGAUCUGUGAGAAAAAUGCUGGUGUAUAAUAUGUAAAAAUGCUUUUUCAAAGCAAACUAUGAUUUUGCAAAAGGCAAAUCAGUUUGUAUGUGUGUGAAUUUAAAACUUUUCUCUGCUGUGCUGAUGACCUUUUGCUUCUGCUCUGCCUUUUUAAAGAGAUUUCUAUAAAUUAGAUGUUUACAGCUUUUGCCAGAAGAGCUUCAUUAACCAAUGUCCAAUGUUUCAAACAACUAAAAGACGCAGACAGAUAAAACAAAACCAAACCUCUGCAAAAUGCAACAGAUUCAUAAAAACCUUUAUUUUGAUUAAUGUCUUAGCUAAAGAUUUCAUGAUAGUUGAAAGUUGCAAAAAGCCUGAUUGAGACCAUUUCUUAUGACAUCCCUCAUAUCAUAAUUAAACAAUGUAAUAUAGAUUUUGUGUAAUUAUGUCUUAUUAUAUCAUCAAAUGACGCUUUCCUGAAAAUUUUUAAAUGAAGUGUGUUCAGCAGCUGACAGAUCUCUUUAGCAGAGGCCAUCAGUGUUUGUGAAUUUUUCUUGAUAAUUAGUGGUUUCACUCAGGAAACACUUGCUGUUGUGAGAAAAUUAUCAAAUUAUUUUAGAUGAAUUGUAAACCAAAACUAUUCAACAGAUGAGUCAAUAUAAAGUCAGUCAAUUACAACAUAUAAGCACUGUACUGGAGUCAGACGUUUGUCAUGAUGUCCUUUGUAAUGCUGGUAGCUGAUACUGGUUGUGGCUUUUUAUACAUUUAUGAAAAUAAUUAAAAUCUUUUUAAAAAUUGAAUUGAAAAGAAGUUAAUGAUAUGAUUUAAAGGUAGAUUUGAGGAUUGCUGUGGCUCUAUAAUGAAACCCUUGAGUUGGAUCACCCACAACAAUUAAAA